UCCUGGGGUUUCAACCCGAAUCGCAUGGAAAGACCUCCCCAGAUUCAGUGGGGAGCAUUUCCAUGCCUGGAAGAGCAAGAUCAGUUUAAUCCUUCAACUGGAAGGACUGAUGGGCAUCAUGGAAGGGACCGAAGUUCUUCCAGUUGAAGGAUGAAACUGAUCUUGCUCUUCCAGGCAUGGAAAUGCUCCUUACUGAAUCUGGGGAGGUCUUUCCAUGCGAUUCGGGUUGAAACCCCAGGA